UCCAGUAGUAGUCAACUGUCCAGAGCAGUACUGCGCCUGUGAUAGUGUUACCCUGCUGGGAGAUAAAGCUCAGUCAUUUCUUCUGGCUGCUGUUGUCACCGUUCUGGAGGCAGCUGAUGCCAAAAAGGAAUGGUCUUGUGCUUCCCUGAGAGCGCGCUGAAGAUCUGCUGUGCCUCUUUAGUGCUAGUCUGGAAGCAUACAUU
ensembl:snoRNA SNORA74 Small nucleolar RNA SNORA74